rnacentral:lncRNA from 1 species
UAGAGUAAUGAAAGAAUUCUUCAGCUUGCCGGACUCGGAGAAGAAGCAAUACGAAGCGAAGAGUGCUUCAGAUCCCAUCAAAUGUGGCAAUUUCAACGUCGCCAACACUUCAAACCAGAGCUUCACUUUAUGGAGAGACUACCUUAAGCUCUACGUGCAUCCCAACUUCCAUUGCCCUCACAAACCCCAACUCUUAAGGUUAAAAAUAACCCAUAUUUUAAAUAUAGAUGUUACGCUUGAUGAAAUACUUUGAUCUGACAUUGGAUUAUGUUAUUAGGGAUGUGGUGUUGGAAUACACCCAAAUCACCAGAAAACUAGCUACUAAGCUAAUUGAGGCUGUAUGUGAAGCUUUAGAGUUGAAUCAAAGCUACGUGGAUGAAAUAUUGAAGAUGGAUUCGAGUUUUCAAAUGUUUGCGACGAAUUACUAUCCACGCUGCCCUCAGCCCGACGAAGCCAUCGGCAUUCCGCCGCAUACGGAUCCAGGUUUGUUCACGUUUCUGAUACACAACGGCGUCGCCGGUCUGCAAAUCGAGCAUGAUGGCAAGUGGUUCAAUGCCGAUUCUCCUCACAAUUCUAUUUUGGUUAAUGCAGCUGACCAACUUGAGGUAUAUAUAUCACUCUAUUACUUAUAGAAAAUUAAAAAUACUCAUGCACUUUGUUACGUCAAUUCAUACAUUGGAAAUAUAAAAAUUAAUUAAUUAAGUUGUGUUCUUUGUUUGUUUGUAUAACUGAAUAGAUUUUCACAAACGGAAGGUGUAAGAGUGUGAAGCAUAGAGCGGUGGUGAACGAGGAGAGAGAGAGGUUCUCGAUCGUGGUGGCGAAUGGUCCGUCGGGGGAGGCGGUGGUGGGGCCGGCGGCGGCCCUGGUGGAGAAAGAUGGCGGCGCGAUGUAUAAUGCAAUGAAGUAUGAAGAAUACGUGGAGUCGCAACUCACCAAAUCUCGUGUCGAUGGAAAAUCCCUCUUGGAACAACAGAUGAUAUUCAUCAACAACUCAAAUUAAAUUUGUUCCCGAAAAUAAAUAAUGAGCGUGGCCUCUACAUGCAUUAGACGUGCAAGAAUAUUUUUUCUACGAGUACUUUUUAUUUUCUUUCCUUGUGUUGAUCUAAUUAUAUUAUAUUGCACAAAUAUGAUUGCUUUCCAAUAAUAGCCACUUCUUAUGAUGUAUAGCCUCUGUAUGCUGGAGAUGAUUAAAAUAAAAACACUUUUUAAAAUAUAAAAUAUGAACCAUUUUCAGUUAUUAGAUCAUCAAGAUCUAUGAUUGAUUAUGUGUCACAAAUUAUGUGUGGAUAUAUUACCACACAUAAUUAUGUAUUGAUAAAACUUCAUAUUCUUAUAGUGAUUUUGGUUGUAAAAUUUUCAUUGAACGAGGAGAGAGAGAGGAUCUCGAUCGUGGCAAACGGUCCGUCGAGGGAGGCGGUGGUCGGGCCGGCGGCGACGCUGGUGGAGAAGGACGGUGGCGCGAUGUAUAAUACAAUGAAGUAUAAAGAGUAUGUGGAGUUGCAACUCACCAUAUCUUGUGUUGGAGGAAAAUCCCUCUUGGAACAUCAAAUGAUAGAUAUUCAACGUCAAUUAAAUUAAGUCAAUAUAGGAAAUUAAAUUAAAUUAUGUCAACGCAUAAUUAGUAUGUGGCCUCCACGAUUAUUAGGCAGACUAAAUUAAAAUAAUGAAAAAUAGCAAUUAGAAGUGAAUUAGAUAUUUGAACCUAUAAUGCACGCAUUAUAUCAGAUCAAGUGUUUAAUUUAUUCUCUUUUUUAUAUACAUUAAAUCAUUUGUCGUGCUUGUAGCUGUAUGCAGGGACGGAGCCGAGGGGGCGUAGGGGGGCUAGAGCCCCUCCCUAAAUUUUGAGUUUUUUUUUUUUUUUUUUUUUUAAUUUUUAAAAUAUAUAUAUAGAUAUAUGUUUAUACCUAUUAUAAAAUAAUUUUAUUUUAUAAAAGAGUAUUUGGUUAUUAUAUUCUCUCAUAUAUAUACUUAAUUUAAGGAUAAUUCCGUUAUUUAAAACUAUAUAAUCUAUGAAAUAUUGUUUGUUAUUAUUACUAUUAUACUUGUCUUUUAAUAAAAAAUGCCUAAUAUGUAUGAAAUGCUAAAAAAAAUUAUAAUGUAUUGAAACUAAUUUGUAAUAUAUAGAAAAUAUAUAAUCUAUGAACAUGUUGUUUGUUAUUAUUAUUAUUAUUAUUAUGCUUUCCUUUUAAUAAAAAAUGUCUUAAAUAUACGGAAUGUCCAAAAAAAGUUUUGUGAUAUAUUGAAACUAUAUAAUCUAUGAAAAUAUUGUUCGUUAUUAUUAGUAUUAUGCUCGUAUUUUAAUAAAAAAAAUACCUUAAAUAUACAGAAUGCCCAAAAAAAAUUUCUCGGGGCCUACCGCCCCCGAACCCCCGUACAAUUUCAGCCCCCCCGAAAUUAAUUCCUGGCUCCGUCCCUGGCCUGUAUGCCAGUUAGAAAAAGAUCACGCAUGUCUGGAGUAUUAAUUAUAAUCUUUAAUUAACUAUAAAAUAUUGUGAUGAACUAUUAAUUAUAAUCUUUAAUUAACUAUAAAAUAUUGUGAUGAAUGAAACACAAUCGCGGAAAUCGUGGAAUGGCAAUCCCCAGGAAUUUCGAUUUACUUAUUAUGUAAUUUAUACAAAAAAAAAAAAUAGAAAUUAACUGCUAAUUAAAAAGUAUAUUACUUAAAAUAUUACUUAGUGUCAUUCAGAAACCAGUUGCACGGAAGAGUGCCUCAAAGUAUAUUACUUAAAAUAUUAUAAAAAUUUAAAUAUUAUUAUAAUACUAUUAAAAAAAUGGGGUACAGGUAUAUCCUAACUGCCCUAUUUGCUUAUUACGUAAUUUAUCAAAAAAUAAGAAUAAGAAAUUAACUGCAAAUUAAAAAUUAUAUUAUAUAAAAUAUUAUUAUAAUACUAUUAAAAAAAUGGGGUACAAGUGUAUCCUAACUGCCCCAUGUUGCAUGCGUCCGCCACUGAAAUUAUUAAUUUGAUAGGCUUUUUUUUAUAAAAUUACUAAUUAAAUAAUUAAAUUUAAAGAUUAGACUACAGUGAAUUCGAAAAAUCUUUAAUCUUAAACAUUAAUCACUUUACUCCUAAAUUAAUUUACAUACGCUACAAAUUUGGUGCAACUACAAUGUGGAAAUCAUGUGUAUUUUGUGGGUGGAACGCCACCCCUCGAUUCAAUUAAUUAAUAUUUUUAUAUAUUCUUUUUAUUUUAACACACGUAAUCAAAUCAAAUCUUUAAAUCUUAAUUAAUAACAAAAUUAAAAAUAAAAGAAGAAAUACUUUUAUAACUCAAAAGAAGAAACAUCUUAAAAUUUUAAAAAUUUAGCAAUAGAAGUGAAUAAAUAUUUGAAACUAUAAGUGUUUUAUUCUCUCUCUCUCUCUCUCAUUAUUCAUGAACAUAAUUGAUCACCUACUCACUGUGGGCAAAAAUAACGUGCUCAUCACUGAUGUGACAAUUUUAAUUAAAAAAAAUUAGCAUAUCUUACUCUAAUUAAAUUUAUCUUAUUCUAAUUAAAUUAUCACAUCAAUGAUGAACACGUUAUGUUUGCCUAUGGUUGUUUGCCUAUGGUGGUUGGUGAUGUUUCUAUAUAUAUUCAUUAAAUCAUUUGUCGUGUUUGUAGUUAAUUGUAUAUGCGGGUAGAUCACAUGCGCACGACUUUUCGAGUAUAAAUUAGUAAUAAUUUUUAAUUAGCUCUAUAAUCGAACGCAAUCAAGGAAAUCGUUGAAAGGUUGUUCUAGAAUCUUGCUACGUGUACCUAUGUAAAAUUGACAAAUCAUUGCUACAACACUAUAAAUUACUAAUUUUAUUUUGUUGAUAGUUAUUAAAAUAUUCCACGAAAAUAUAAGGUGGCGCAAAUUAAAAAAAAAAUUGUAGUAUUAUUUAUUUAGUAAGUGGAGAAAAUGACUCAGAAAUUAAGAAAAAUGAAAAAGUUAAUUAAAUUAAUGAGUAGAGAAAGAGAUCCACAAAUUAGUCAAAUCAUUACUAGAAAUAGGUUUGUGAUAGAUUCGUGUUCAGAUCGAGCAUAUCCUUAAUAAAUUGGUUCAAACAUUAGGCCGAUACGAUAAUAAUUCGACACGCAUGAUUUCCAACCCUAGGCGGAGAAGGGGAUUAAGCUCCCAUGCACCAAUUAUCAUUCUUUUUUCAAAAAAAAUACUUAUAACCAUCAAAAUUUUGGUAUUUUGUGUGAACAAUUGUGCUAAUUAAAACCUCCAUCAUGAACUUGAAUAAAAAAAAAAUAUAUAUUUGUAUUUUACACUCAAAUCCACAGAUAUUUCAUGUGGUAUAUAUAUAGUAGCCCGCCACUAGGUAUUAUAAUAAUUGAUUAAUUUCUAAAGUGGAUGGCUAAUAAAAUAAACGUGGGAAUUGCUAAUAAAAUUAACGUGGUAAAAAUGAAGCUCAUUACCUCUAUAUAUACUUCCCCUACAACUCCCAUUUUAACCAAAUUACAAGAAGAAAAAAAAAAAAAGAAAUUAAGCUGAAAAUGGCAUCAAUUGUUGCAGCUUCUGAUUCAUUUAAGCCCUUUGAAUUCGAUGCAACCCUAAAAGUUAUAGCAGAUUCUUCUUCUUUGAAAUCAGUCCCUUCAAAAUUCAACUUCAGCAAUGAGCGCACUGCUUUCACUUCCGACUCACUCCCCACCGUCGAUUUCUCAGCCCUCGUCGCCGGCGAUCCUCAUCAACGCUCGAAAGCCGUCGACGAUCUCGCCGCAGCAUGUCGAGAAUGGGGAUUUUUCAUCGUAAGAUCAAUUACAUUACAUAAUUAAUUAAAUAUAUAGCUAGUAAUACAUGAUCAGUCCGCCGUCGGUGGUCCGUCGCAAGACUUGCAACGGCCCGUGACUUCCGUCGCAAGGAUCAGUUUGCGACAGGGAAAAAAAAAAGCGACGUUUUUGCGACGGAAAAUCCGUCGCUAGUUAGUGAAAUUUUCAUAGUGUUAUUUUUGUUGUUUACAUAAUAGGGCCAAUUAGUCAUAGCUUCCGACUAACUUAAAGAGAGUUUUCGUUGAUUUUUUAGUAUUUAAAAAAUAUUUCAGGCUGUUUGUAGCAUAUUGCUAACUGUGAUGUUUGUUUCUUGAAGACAUAUCAUCUUAAGUUGAUUAAGUGAACAACGUAGAUAAAUAUAGGCAACAUUAUGAUAUUUUAAAUUUUUGAUUUGAAAGUCAGCAUCAGAUCAAAGUUCGGGCUAUAUUUUAAAAGUAACCCUAUAUUCUGAAUGAAUGUUCGUGUGUGAAGCUUGUGAAUCACGGCGUACCUGAGAGCUUGAUGGAAGCAAUGUUUAUCGCAGUGAAAGAAUUCUUCAGUUUGCCAGACUCGGAGAAGAAGCAAUACGAAGCGAAGAGUGCUUCAGAUCCCAUCAAAUGUGGCAAUUUCAACGUCGUCAACGCUUCAAACCAGAGCUUCACUCUAUGGAGGGAUUACCUUAAGCUCUACGUGCAUCCCAACUUCCAUUGCCCUCACCAACCCCAACUCUUAAGGUAAAAAAUAACCC